GAUACUGGGGGAAUGAGAGAAUGCUGUGCAUACAGUCAGUGAGAAGCACAGAGAACAGCAGUAGGGAAGGCAUGGGGGCAGGAAGAUGUGCUGCAAGUUCAGGGUCAGUAGGUAGUUCCUGUUGCUGGGCAGCAUCUUUUAGAGUCUCUGAGAUGGUGAAAGGGUAGGACUGGAAACAAAUUAUUGCAGUUCUUCUACCCUCGGUUUUUUUUCACCUAUAAAAUGAAGCAGCACCAGCCCUCUACGUUAUAGACGUUAAAAGCCUGGGAGAAAAUUUUAUUUUCCAUUUCCCCCCUGUUAUUUGUAUGGAAAUAAAUGCUUUGAUAAGUCUAUGGAGGAUGAUGGAUACAUACUCACCCUCACCAGGGCAUAUUUGAACCACUAAGGUGCUUCUAUGCUGCUGUACAGACAGAGAGAGGAAUGUAUUCUGCUCCUCAGAGGGACAGAGAAAAUAAGAACCAAUGAGGUUGCCCAGACAGCAUGCAAUAAGCCUCUUGACUGCUUCCUGUGGCUCCUGUCUUUAUUCAUGUUGACAAAACUUAAAAAGUGCUCUGUGUGAGUAGAGAUCUUGGACAAAUAAGUAAAAAAGCAGAGUAGAUAGAGGAUGAAACCUAGACUUUUCUGCAGAGGGCACACUAAAGAAAAUCCCUUUGCAGAAGUUUUGAGGGAGAUUUGAUAACCAUGAAAUUGGGGUCUCUGAGCAAAGCUCUGGGUCUUCAAGACCCUAAUGGAUGUGGUAAUCAACAAUCAACAGGGAGGCUAACCAUGAUGGUGCCUGGAGAGUGUUGGGCGCAAAGCUUGAUCCUAGUAAAUUGUCUCUGACAGUCGUUAUGAUUAUUUCAAUUAUCAUUACAAUUAGCGGUCUUGUUACUCCCCACUGCCUCUCAGGGGUUGGGGGCUCUGAGACCGGCCACUGUGAUGGGCAUUUUGCUUCUCUCCAGGAAAUGCAAUUUGUACAGGAGGAAUUGAAAUUCACUGAGCCUCACUAGCAAUGAAAGAAAUGCAAAUUAAAACCAGAAAAUAUCAUUUUGUCUGUUUGGCAAAGAUUUUGUUGCUAAAGUGUUAGUACCCAGUAUUGGUGCGGGAAAUCAGCGAUCUUAACUCAUGUAGGUAGGAGUAUAAGUUGUUCCAUUUUGUGAAGAUGAUUUGAUGAAAAAGCAUCAAGAACAUUAACAACAGGCAUGUCUUUUGACUUAGCAAUUGCACAUCUAGAAAUAAUAUUUAGUGGAUGUUUGCACAGAUUUAGUUAAAAGGCAUGCUGAUGGUUGCAGUGAAAAAUUGGAACUAUCAGAAUGCUCAACAACAGGGAACUAAAUUAAAUGAUGGUGCAUCCCCCUCAUAGGGCUACAAAGCAGUUAUUCCAAAUGAUGUUAUUGGAAG
rnacentral:lncRNA from 1 species